rnacentral:rRNA from 1 species
GAUGAACGCUGGCGGCGUGCCUAAUACAUGCAAGUCGAGCGAACGGACGAGAAGCUUGCUUCUCUGAUGUUAGCGGCGGACGGGUGAGUAACACGUGGAUAACCUACCUAUAAGACUGGGAUAACUUCGGGAAACCGGAGCUAAUACCGGAUAAUAUUUUGAACCGCAUGGUUCAAAAGUGAAAGACGGUCUUGCUGUCACUUAUAGAUGGAUCCGCGCUGCAUUAGCUAGUUGGUAAGGUAACGGCUUACCAAGGCAACGAUGCAUAGCCGACCUGAGAGGGUGAUCGGCCACACUGGAACUGAGACACGGUCCAGACUCCUACGGGAGGCAGCAGUAGGGAAUCUUCCGCAAUGGGCGAAAGCCUGACGGAGCAACGCCGCGUGAGUGAUGAAGGUCUUCGGAUCGUAAAACUCUGUUAUUAGGGAAGAACAUAUGUGUAAGUAACUGUGCACAUCUUGACGGUACCUAAUCAGAAAGCCACGGCUAACUACGUGCCAGCAGCCGCGGUAAUACGUAGGUGGCAAGCGUUAUCCGGAAUUAUUGGGCGUAAAGCGCGCGUAGGCGGUUUUUUAAGUCUGAUGUGAAAGCCCACGGCUCAACCGUGGAGGGUCAUUGGAAACUGGAAAACUUGAGUGCAGAAGAGGAAAGUGGAAUUCCAUGUGUAGCGGUGAAAUGCGCAGAGAUAUGGAGGAACACCAGUGGCGAAGGCGACUUUCUGGUCUGUAACUGACGCUGAUGUGCGAAAGCGUGGGGAUCAAACAGGAUUAGAUACCCUGGUAGUCCACGCCGUAAACGAUGAGUGCUAAGUGUUAGGGGGUUUCCGCCCCUUAGUGCUGCAGCUAACGCAUUAAGCACUCCGCCUGGGGAGUACGACCGCAAGGUUGAAACUCAAAGGAAUUGACGGGGACCCGCACAAGCGGUGGAGCAUGUGGUUUAAUUCGAAGCAACGCGAAGAACCUUACCAAAUCUUGACAUCCUUUGACAACUCUAGAGAUAGAGCCUUCCCCUUCGGGGGACAAAGUGACAGGUGGUGCAUGGUUGUCGUCAGCUCGUGUCGUGAGAUGUUGGGUUAAGUCCCGCAACGAGCGCAACCCUUAAGCUUAGUUGCCAUCAUUAAGUUGGGCACUCUUAGUUGACUGCCGGUGACAAACCGGAGGAAGGUGGGGAUGACGUCAAAUCAUCAUGCCCCUUAUGAUUUGGGCUACACACGUGCUACAAUGGACAAUACAAAGGGCAGCGAAACCGCGAGGUCAAGCAAAUCCCAUAAAGUUGUUCUCAGUUCGGAUUGUAGUCUGCAACUCGACUACAUGAAGCUGGAAUCGCUAGUAAUCGUAGAUCAGCAUGCUACGGUGAAUACGUUCCCGGGUCU